GCCCGCUUAGCUCAGCGGUAGAGCGCGUCACUAGUAUCAAAGCUCAUGACGAGGUCGUCUGUUCGAUUCAGGCAGUGGGCA